UGGGGAAUAUUGGGCAAUGGGCGCAAGCCUGACCCAGCAACGCCGCGUGAAGGAAGAAGGCCCUCGGGUUGUAAACUUCUUUUGUCAGGGACGAAGCAAGUGACGGUACCUGACGAAUAAGCCACGGCUAACUACGUGCCAGCAGCCGCGGUAAUACGUAGGUGGCAAGCGUUAUCCGGAUUUACUGGGUGUAAAGGGCGUGUAGGCGGGAGAGCAAGUCAGAUGUGAAAUUCCAGGGCUCAACCCUGGAACUGCAUUUAGAAACUGUUUUUCUUGAGUUGAUGGAGAGGCAGGCGGAAUUCCGUGUGUAGCGGUGAAAUGCGUAGAUAUACGGAGGAACACCAGUGGCGAAGGCGGCCUGCUGGACAUUAACUGACGCUGAGGCGCGAAAGCGUGGGGAGCAAAACAGGAUUAGAUACCC
rnacentral:rRNA from 1 species